rnacentral:snoRNA from 1 species
GCUGCAAACAGCAGCCUCCUAGGUAAAUGUAUGCAGCCUGUUGCCUGUACAGGUUGCCGUAAGGGACC